GCCGGCAGCCACAUCACCCUGCACCCCACAGCUGGCAGCCCCACUGAAGCUCAGCAGGUGGGAGCCUGGUCAGUACCUGGAUGGGAGACCUCCUGGGAAAAACUAAGAGUGCUGCUGGAA
rnacentral:rRNA from 1 species